UACGUAGGGACCGAGCGUUGUCCGGAAUCAUUGGGCGUACAGAGCGUGUAGGCGGCCACUUAAGUCCUGCGUGAAAUCCUGCGGCUCAACCGCAGGCGGUCGUGGGAAACUGGGUGGCUAGAGUGCGGGAGAGGAGAGUGGAAUUCAUGGUGUAGCAGUGAAAUGCGUAGAGAUCAUGAGGAAGACCAGUGGCGAAGGCGGGUCUCUGGACAGUUCCUGACGCUGAGGCACGAAGGCCAGGGGAGCAAACGGG
rnacentral:rRNA from 1 species